rnacentral:lncRNA from 1 species
UUUAACAUUCUGUAAGGCGUGCUGUGGCCCCUAAUGAGGAUUCCUCAGCAGUAGUUCAGUGCCUUCAGUGCAAAUAGUCAUUUCAUUGUUUUGGGUGAGCACACAUAGUCCUGAAGUGCUUCCUCUGUCCGGGGAUGGCCUGUUGGUUACCCUGUUUCUACCGUGAAUAAUAGACUUCUAUGCCAGAAUUUCCAAAUUUUAGUCUUGUUACAUUAUAAUAGAAACACAGUUUAGUGUUGUUAUUGUUUUUAAUCUCUGGGGAAACUUUUGUUUCAUUAACUUUUUAAAGACAUAAACAAACUUUAAAAAAAAUCUCAUUUGAAUAAAAUGCUUUCAUUUUGGACUUAAUGUUGAAAGUAUCUCAAAUCUUUAACCCUUUUGAAAUUGGAUACAUUUUGCUGUAGUUUUUCUAGCCUAACUAAUAAUGCUGACAAGAGACAGAUUAUUUUAGAAUUCACCAUUUGUCAGCAUUGGCUUAAAUCUUGCUGGAUGCUAUAAAAUCAAAUAUGAGAUAUU